GAUGUAGCCUACCUUGAUUUCAGCAAGGCAUUUGACAAGGUGCCCCAUGAUAUUCUUGUAAAGAAGCUGGUAAAAUGUGGUCUUGACUAUGCUACCACUCAGUGGAUUUGUAACUGGCUGACUGACGGAACCCAAAGGGUGCUCAUCAAUGGUUCCUCUUCAUCCUGGAGAAGAGUGACUAUGGGUUGCCGCAGGGUUCUGUCUUGGGCCCGGUCUUAUUCAACAUCUUUAUCAACGACUUGGAUGAUGGACUCAAGGGCAUCCUGAUCAAAUUUGCAGAUGGCACCAAACUGGGAGGGGUGGCUAACACCCCAGAGGACAGGAUCACACUUCAAAACGACCUUGACAGAUUAGAGAACUGGGCCAAAACAAACAAGAUGAAUUUUAACAGGGAGAAAUGUAAAGUAUUGCACUUGGGCAAAAAAAAUGAGAGACACAAAUACAAGAUGGGGGACACCUGGCUUGAGAGCAGUACAUGUGAAAAGGAUCUAGGAGUCUUGGUUGACCACAAACUUGACAUGAGCCAACAGUGUGACGCGGCAACUAAAAAAGCCAAUGCAAUUCUGGGCUGCAUCAAUAGGAGUAUAGCAUCUAGAUCAAGGGAAGUAAUAGUGCCACUGUAUUCUGCUCUGGUCAGACCUCACCUGGAGUACUGUGUCCAGUUCUGGGCACCACAGUUCAAGAAGGACACUGACAAACUGGAACGUGUCCAGAGGAGGGCAACCAAAAUGGUCAAAGGCCUGGAAACGAUGCCUUAUGAGGAACGGCUAAGAGAGCUGGGCAUGUUUAGCCUGGAGAAGAGGAGGUUAAGGGGUGAUAUGAUAGCCAUGUUCAAAUAUAUAAAAGAAUGUCACAUAGAGGAGGGAGAAAGGUUGUUUUCUGCUGCUCCAGAGAAGCGGACACGGAGCAAUGGAUCCAAACUACAAGAAAGAAGAUUCCACCUAAACAUUAGGAAGAACUUCCUGACAGUAAGAGCUGUUCGACAGUGGAAUUUGCUGCCAAGGAGUGUGGUGGAGUCUCCUUCUUUAGAGGUCUUUAAGCAGAGGCUUGACAACCAUAUGUCAGGAGUGCUCUGAUGGUGUUUCCUGCUUGGCAGGGGGUUGGACUCGAUGGCCCUUGUGGUCUCUUCCAACUCUAUGAUUCUAUGAUUCUAGAAUAAUGUGGAAACAGGUGGUCCAAAAAGUGAAUAAUUGCAAAGAAAGUGACAUGGAGCAGAAAUCAACUGAUCCCUAGCAGCCAGGAAUCCAAGUCUUAUUUGUUAAGUGGAGAAAAAUAGGUGGAGUUAGGGAAUCGUUCACAAAUGAAAGCCACCAGACAUGAAAAGGGUUCGGGACCCCUCCUGCCCUUCACUUUGCUCCCCCAACCCUCUCAAUAUUUUUUAUCUUUAUCAAUACUUUGCACACAGGAGCAAACAUAAUGCCCCAAGACUUUGUAUCCAUGCAUUUUUAAUAAUACAGUCAUACCUUGGGUUAUGUUCACUGGAAGGACAGAUCCUGAAGCUGAGGCUCCAAUACUUUGGCCACCUCAUGAGAAGAGAAGACUCCCUGGAAAAGACCCUGAUGUUGGGAAAGAUGGAGGGCACAAGGAGAAGGGGACGACAGAGGACGAGAUGGUUGGACAGUGUUCUCGAAGCUACCAGCAUGAGUCUGACCAAACUGCAGGAGGCAGUGGAAGACAGAAGUGCCUGGCGUGCUCUAGUCCAUGGGGUCACGAAGAGUCGGACACAGCUAAACGACUAAACAACAACAACACCUUGGGUUAAAUGUGCUUCAGGUUGAGUGUUUUCAGGUUACGCUCUGUGGUGACCCGGAAGUAACGGAGUGUGUUACUUCCAGGUUUCGCCGCUCGCGCACGCGCAGACACUCAAAAUGACGUCACACGUAUGCACAGAAACGGCAAAUCGUGACCCGCACACACGCAGACAUGGGUUGCGUUCACUUCAGGAUGCAAAUGAGGCUCCAGAACGGAUCCCGUUCGCAUCCAGAGGUACCACUGGAGGAGGAGGAGGAGGAGGAGGAGGAGGAGGAGGAGGAAGAAGAAGAAGAAGAAGAAGAAGAAGAAGAAGAAGAAGAAGAAGAAGAAGAAGAAGAAGAAGAAGAUUUUCUUUGUUUCUGUUUGGAAUUACACCUCACAAAAAGUAUCCAUUUUAUUUAAACCAUCUUGACGUCUUUUAAACACAGUAACUUACAUUUAUGCAAUCAAAUAUGAAUGACACUCUUUAUUUAUAAACACAAGUUUAAGUGCAGAUUAAAACAUUUGGAAUGAAGUUUUGCCUGUCCUUAAAGUGAUUAUAGAGGUGGAGUUUGGAAGGGAUCCUAAUAUCUGCCUGUUAAAAAUGAUUUGCAAGGCAGCAUUAGAUGAAAAUGUAGGCAUCACAGGUACUUAAUGCACUGCCUGCGGCAAGAAUAGUUGUGGUAAAUAACUGGAAACGUGAAGAAGAAGAAAAUAUUUAGAGGAGGAAUGGAGAGAAAAAGUUGGGUAUAUAAAAAGUUAGACCUUUAAACAAAGAUUGAGGGAGAGGCUAAUGAACUUUGAGAAGGUAGCAAACAUUAAUAAAUCGAACCUUUUGGACUCAGUCUGAGCAGAAAUAUUGCCAAGGCUUUAGAUUUUCUCAAUGGAAGAUUAAAACACCAGAGUUCUGUGGGUGUUGGGUGAAAUGGUUACUUCAUUUCUUUCCAUUUUUUGUACAUGAAAAGCACACAUUCGUGGAAUGUAUGUAGAGAUCUAUUACCUUAUUUGGGUGCUCGGUUGCUAUAUGCGGUGAAAAUAAUGGGAUGGAGAGUGGAGCAUCACAACCAAGUCCUGGCCCCUCCAGGUGCAUCACCAUCCCCUCCAUGGGCUAGGGAGUGAAAGUCUGUCGUGGGGAGCCUCAUGUACUUGUGGAAGCACCCCAUAUGAUUUAGAGCCAGUUAUGCAGGGUGCCUCCAUUAGUCCAGGAAGAUCCCUGUACUUCAGUCAUGCACCCAACAAUUUAUUUGGGGUGAAGACAAGACACAGAUGAUGUACUGGAAGAAACACACCCUAGCAUUUCCUUGUGUCAUUGUCAUCAUGCGCAGCACUGAAUGCUUCUAUCAUCUCUAUCAACUAUCUAUCUAUCUAUCUAUCUAUCUAUCUAUCUAUCUAUCAUCUAUCAUCUAUCUAUCUAUCAUCUAUCUAUCAUCUAUCUAUCAUCUAUCUAUCAUCUAUCUAUCUACCGUAUUUUUCGUCCCAUAGGACGCUCCGUCCCAUAGGACGCACCUACUUUUUUGGGGGGGGAAAUAAAGGAAAAUUUCCCCCCCUUUAUUCCCCCCCCCAAAACCAGGUCCGGGAACUGUGGGAUGGCGGUGCGGCGCCUCCCCGCUGUCCCCUGAGCUUGUGGGGCUGGCCGAUGUCUGCCCGGCGCGAGGGGCGCUCUGCUUCAGGGCGCCCCACGCGCCCGGCGGCAGGCUGCGGAAUCCUGCGCGAAGCAUGGGGCGUCCUCCGGAGGGCGCCCUGUGCUCUGCGCUACAGGCUGCAGCCCGCAAGCCUUGCGCUCCCGGGGGGAGUUUCCCCCAGUGCGCAAGGCUUGCCGACAACUGCGCGAAGCACGGGGCGUCCUCCGAAGGGCGCCCCGUGCUUGGCGCUGCAGGCUGCCGCCCGCAAGCCUUGCGCGCCCAGGGGAACUCCCCCCGUGCGCAAGGCUUGCGGGUAGCUUCGUGGAGCCUGGAGAGCGAGAGGUGUCGGUGCGCACCAUGCCUCUUGCUCUCCAGGCUUCAGCGAAAGCCUGCAUUCGCCCCAUAGGACGCACACACAUUUCCCCUUCAUUUUUGGAGGGGAAAAAGUGCGUCCUAUAGGGCGAAAAAUACGGUAUCUAUCUAUCAUCUAUCUAUCUAUCUAUCAUCAUCAUCAUCUAUCUAUCUAUAUCUAUCUAUAUCUAUCUAUAUCUAUCUAUAUCUAUCUAUAUCUAUCUAUCAUCUAUCUAUCUAUCUAUCUAUCUAUCUAUCUAUCUAUCUAUCUAUCUAUUAUUUCAGGAGUGGGAAACAUUUUUCAGCCCAAGGGCCACAUUGCUUCAUGGGGAAAAUCCCCGAGGGUUGAAUGCCAGUGGUGAGCAGGGUCAGAGGUAAAACUGGGUGGGGCAAGGCAUGCGAUUUGUACAGUAGACUGUAUUUCAGGCCUUAAGAAAGUCAGAGGUGCCAACACACCUGUCUCUAUCCAGCCAGGGAAUGGGGCCUGGGAAUGCAAAUAUCUAUUUCAUCAGAGUUAAAAAUCACCAUCCAUGUACAACUUAUCUCUAGAAGCUAUUAGAACUGGUUGCAUAGAACCUAGAAGGUUGCAUAGCCUUCUAGAACAAUUAUGAUAUCCAGGGAUGCUUUGGACUGACUUGGAUUAUCUUCUCCUGUUUUAUGUUUCCAUAUUAACAAAGAAUUCACUCUCAGACUGUUUAGUAAACAAGAAAAUGUGAGGUUUACUCACAUCAAAGUCUUGACAGGAUUCAACAGAUAUGAUGAUGAAAAUCAGACAGGCAAUAGGCUUUAAAUGUUACAAAUUUCCAUAGUCCAGUUCAAAAUGGAGAUUGUUCUCUGCAGGAGAGCAAAUAUUGUUUUUUUCCAUUGCAGUUAGGAAAAGAAUGUGAGACAGGAAUGAAUAUUCAGGGAUUAACUCCCUGCCACCAGGUUUUGUGGGUAUGACAUCAUGUUGUUGUUGUUUAGUCGUUUAGUUGUGUCCGACUCUUCGUGACCCCAUGGACCAGAGCAUGCCAGGCACUCCUGACUUCCACUGCCUCCCGCAGUUUGGUCAAAAUGACGUAGUGUCACCUUUAUACAUGGAGCCAUUGCUCCUGUUUGUGACUAUCUAGCAAUCAUUUCAGCUGCACAGGAAGAAGGCAUGUGGCCUAAAGUGAGUCCCAAGGGCCGGAUAAAGAUACUUGGGGGGCCAUGUUUGGAUUCUGGCCCUGAGAUUUCCCACUCCUGAUCUACCUAUGUAGAUACAGUGACAGACAGACAUGCUUUGAUUACUAUUGCAUUCCAUUUAUGUUUCAUAUUUUUAUACUGAAUAAUAAGAAACUUAAAAAUAAAUUAAAAUAAAGAAGAACCUGCGACUGACUGAUGCGGCAGGUUUCUGGUAAUGCUUAUUCACUCAACACUGAGAUCAUUUAUUAAAGGGUUGAAUAGCAAAGAAAGGAAAAGGAAAGAAGUUUCCACUGUUAGAAACCUCAAAUACAAUAGCUUAUAAAAAUGGCACCUGCUAAGCUAAUAAUUUGAAGCUCAGAAUACACGAUCUACCUACAAGUAUGUGCCAAAUUGCACACUGAUCCAAUAAGAAGUUUCACAGCUACAGCAAGUAAAAAGUUCUGAAAAUGGACCUUUUGACACUUGGUACUCCAAUUUUUCAAUUUGCAUAUCACACAUUGCUUCCCAAUGUGGAGGGAAACUACUGAUGCACUUUAUGUGGUCUUGUCAAGGAAGGCUACCCUUCAUUGAUUUCAUAGAAUCAUAGAGUUGGAAGGGACCCAAGGCUCAACCGUCUGCAAUGCAGGAAUCUCAGCUAAAGCAUCCAUGACAGAGGGCCAUCCAACCUCUGCUUAAAAGCCUCCAAGGAAGGAGAGUCCACAACCUCCCGAGGGAGACUGUUCCACUGUCAAACAACUCUUACUGUCAGAAAGUUUUUCCUGGUGGUUGAUCGGAAUCUUCCUUCUUGUAACUUGAAGCCAUUGGUUCAAAUCCUACUCUCCAGAGCAGGAGAAAACAAGCUUGCUCCCUCCUCCAUGUGACAGCCCUUAAGAUAUUUGAAGAUAGCUAUCAUAUCUUCUCUCAGUCUCCUCUUUUCCAGGCUUAACAUACCCAGCUCCUUCAAGUGCUCCUCAUAAGGCUUAGCUUCCAGACCCUUGAUCACCUCGGUUGCCCUCCUCUGCACACGUUCCAGCUUGUCAACAUCCUUCUUAAAUUGUGGUGCCUAGAAUUGGACACAGUAAUCUAGAUGUGGUCUGACCAGGGCAGAGUACAGUGGUACUGUUCCUUCCCUUGAUCUGGGCACUAUGCUUGAUGAGGUUCUGAGCAGUGGUUCUAAUAUUAAUAAUAAUAAUUUAUUAUUUAUACCCCGCCCAUCUGGCUGAGUUUCCCCAGCCACUCUGGGCAGCUCCCAAUCGAGUGUUAAAAACAAUACAGCAUUAAAUAUUCAAAACUUCCCUGAACAGGGCUGCCUUCAGAUGUCUUUUAAAGAUAAGAUAGCUGCUUAUUUCCUUCACAUCUGAAGGGAGGGCGUUCCACAGGGUGGGCGCCACUACUGAGAAGGCCCCCUGCCUGGUUCCCUGUAACCUCACUUCUCGCAAUGAGGGAACCGCCAGAAGGCCCUUGGUGCUGGAUUUCAGUGUCUGGGUUGAACGAUGGGGGUGGAGACGCUUUCCUUAUUAAGGCUUUCCUGCCCCCCUUAAAGUCCAUGGCAGAAACUACCAAGAAAUUAAAUCACUGCAUGCAUGGAUAAAUUUUUGAAGCAAAAAAUGCAUCUGGACUCCUAGAGGGAGCACUUAAUGGAUGCUACAUGCAAAGUCUAUUCAUUUAGUUACAACAGUGUGGCAAAGUGAUUGGGUGAGGGCUGACCAACCUUACUCUGCCCAUGGGAUACCUGAGAAAUAUGGGAGACCAAUGUUGCACAACACUGUUGCUGAUCACAAGGCAUGUCUGUUAAAACAUUGGCCUUAACUCCCAAUUCUCUGAUUUUGUGGAGUGCAAAACAAUGAAAGAGCCUUAACUCUGGUCUUUUUCUUAUUUACUUUUGCUUUAUAAAAUCCCUAAAUCAGAUUAUCAGAUUUGCAGUCUUCUAUACAUGACCUAAUUUAUUGUUACAUUAGAAAUAAUGACCUAAAUGUCAGUGUCACUACAACAGAGUUAAACCUUCGGGAAUUGGGAAGUUUGCCCAAAAUCAUGUAUAAUCUAGCAGAGUAGAUAUGUCAACAUGCAUAAGUACAUGUAGUUUGUUUGACAUGAUCACCCAUAAUCCUAUAAUAAUGCAGAAUAGAAUUUCCUGGAGGGUUUUCCUCAGCUUUAAAAUGUCUCUGACAUAUAAUUCCCCCAGCCCCCAUAAUUUUAGAAUGCUUUAAUAUCUGUAGUAAGUGGAGAUGUCUCAAAAUGAGAGAGAUACACUUUCCUAGCAGCAAAAAAGUCAUUUCUUUUUUCUUAGAAAAAUAUUUCUAUUUUAUUGAAAAUUUUCAGUGGGAAAAAAAGCAGGGCUUUUUUCAGCUGGACUUCACUUCCAGCACCUGUCAGGUGGGUGCCACUGACAUUCUAAGCAAACUAAGGAGGUGUUCAUGGUGAUUUCCAGCACCUCUUUUUCUAGAAAAAAAGCACUGGGUGAAAGAAAAUAAAAAUAAAAUAAAAAGGUGCUUGAAACUGUAAAACAAUACAAUAUAUAGGUAUAUAAGUAAUGCUAUUAUUCCACUGAGUAUCUGCAUUAAAAAGAUACCUGCAAAUAUGACAUGAAGGCUGGUAACAUCAACCCCGCCUUGGUGGGAAUUCCUUGAAGACAACCACAGUGCCUGGAGACAGGCAGUCAAGUCAUGUAUCCACAGCAGUGACCAAAGGAGAAAUGAUUUCUGGAAGGAGUACAGAAAAAUAAGUGUAAUGUACGCCUCUUUCCAAGACUCUGGUGCCCUUUUCCCUUCCAGUAUUUUUUGAUACAACAGAAUGCAAUAAAGAAGAGAAGUCAAAAUGAGAAGAAAGACAAAAUUUUGGGGAAAAUAAAAGAAAGUGAAAAGAAAUUGAGAGCAAAACCAAAGUCGCAGGAGAUUUUGAGAGAAAUAAAGUUAUACCAAGUACAAUAUAUGGAAAUGAUGAAUCUGGAAAUAGAAUGGAAAAUCAAACUCCCAGCUCUUUUUUUGCACCUCCCAGAUCCCUGUGGACUGUGGAAAAAAGGAAGGAAGGAAGGAAGGAAGGACAACUCUUUGUACGACAGUGCUGUACUGAAAACUUAUCCCAUUUAUUUAUUUUACUAACUCUCAUCCAGCAAUUAAUGAGAAAAUAUAUUUAAUAAGAACAUUAUCCAAGAGAGAAAAUGAUGGAGAAAUACAUAUGGGUCAAGUGCCGGGUAAUUGUCACACUUCCUUUAUUUUUGGGGUUGCUCAGGGAUGUUUAUGAGUGUCCUUUCAUUCAUUCUACAAAUCAUCUUUCCAGGGAUCUGAACUCUGCAGCCUUCCUGGGUGUCUGUGUUUCCUGAAAACCCCAUGGCAUUCUCAGCUGGGCUUUCUUGUAAACAUGGGAAGGUGAGGAAGCUUCCUACUGUGUGUCUGACAACUUAAAUAUUUUCCACAUAUAUCCUUUCAUUCUACAAAUUAUCUUUCCAGGGAUCUGAACUCUGCAGCCUUCCUGGGUGUCUGUGUUUCCUGAAAACCCUAUGGCAUUCUCAGCUGGGCUUUCUUGUAAACAUAGGAAGGUAAGGAAGCUUCCUACUGUAUGUCUGACAACUGAAAUAUUUUUAAAGAAAUGAGUGUGGGAUGGAUUCUUUUUCAAGCAAGGUAAAACGAAGGGCUUCCCUUAAAAACAAGUGAAUGCAUCACUCUCAGGCACCUGCAUCACUCUCAGGCACCUCCACAGCUUUUCUGUGCCUCAGUUACAGUUCAGGGAAAGACACCACAAAUUAACUUAUCCCAUGGGUUUUUUUCAGAUCAGGAAGUGCAGGCAGCCAGGGAGGCCGCAGAGUGCUGAAGAAAUGUUUAAGGUAGCGGUAAAAACACAGAAAACACAGCCUCAGCUCCACUACAAUGAUAAAUAAAUUCUAAAGCGCCCAGGGAAAGAGACAGUAAAAUUAAAGCCUCUUUGGCAGGACAACCUGACAGUGCAG
rnacentral:lncRNA from 1 species